rnacentral:misc_RNA from 1 species
GAUGAAGAACGUAGCGAAAUGCGAUAAGUAGUGUGAAUUGCAGAAUUCAGUGAAUCAUCGAAUCUUUGAACGCACAUUGCGCCCCUUGGUAUUCCAUGGGGCAUGCCUGUUCGUGCGUCAUUUGUACCUUCAAGCUCUGCUUGGUGUUGGGUGUUUGUCUCGCCUCUGCGUGUAGACUCGCCUCAAAAUAAUUGGCAGCCGGCGUAUUGAUUUCGGAGCGCAGUACAUCUCGCGCUUUGCACUCAUAACGACGACGUCCAAAAGUACAUUUUUACACUCUUGACCUCGGAUCAGGUAGGGAUACCCGCUGAACUUAAGCAUAUCAAUAAGCGGAGGA